UACGUAGGGUGCGAGCGUUGUCCGGAAUUAUUGGGCGUAAAGGGCUCGUAGGCGGUCUGUCGCGUCGGGAGUGAAAACUCAGGGCUUAACCCUGAGCCUGCUUCCGAUACGGGCAGACUAGAGGUAUGCAGGGGAGAACGGAAUUCCUGGUGUAGCGGUGGAAUGCGCAGAUAUCAGGAGGAACACCAGUGGCGAAGGCGGUGGUCUGGGCCGGAACUGACGCUGAGGAGCGAAAGCGUGGGUAGCAAACAGG
rnacentral:rRNA from 1 species